CCUACGGGAGGCUGCAGUGAGGAAUAUUGGUCAAUGGGCGGGAGCCUGAACCAGCCAAGUAGCGUGCGGGAUGAAGGUCCUACGGGUCGUAAACCGCUUUUGCACGGGGAUAACACCCUCCACUUGUGGAGGUCUGCAGGUACCGUGCGAAUAAGGGCCGGCUAAUUCCGUGCCAGCAGCCGCGGUAAUACGGAAGGCCCGAGCGUUAUCCGGAUUCAUUGGGCUUAAAGGGAGCGUAGGCGGGCGUUCAAGUCAGCGGUAAAAUCGCGCGGCUCAACCCCCCCCCGCCGUUGAAACUGGACGCCUUGAGUGCACAAGAGGCAGGCGGAAUGCGUGGUGUAGCGGUGAAAUGCAUAGAUAUCACGAGGAACCCCGAUUGCGAAGGCAGCAUGCCGGGGUGCGACUGACGCUGAGGCACGAAGGUGCGGGUAUCGAACAGGAUUAGAUACCCGGGUAGUC
rnacentral:rRNA from 1 species